rnacentral:rRNA from 1 species
UACGUAGGGGGCUAGCGUUGUCCGGAUUUAUUGGGCGUAAAGAGCGUGUAGGCGGCCAGGUAGGUCCGGUGUGAAAACUCGAGGCUUAACCUCGAGAUGUCAUCGGAAACCAUCUGGCUAGAGUCCGGAAGAGGAAAGUGGAAUUCCUGGUGUAGCGGUGAAAUGCGCAGAUAUCAGGAAGAACACCAAUGGCGAAAGCAGCUUUCUGGGACGGUACUGACGCUGAGACGCGAAAGCGUGGUGAGCGAACAGG